UCAUCAACACUGGGUCUGAUGAAAGGCUGUGGAGCAGGACCAACCCCAAGCAAAUUGCUAAUGUCUUGGUGGAGGAUAAUCCAUCAGCAGCAGAAAUACUCCUUGCAAGUAGGAAGAUGGAAGUGAAAUCCACCAGGGCUCACUUCAGUGGGUGAAGGGGCCGUGGCAAUCCGGUCUAAUGAUUCUCCUUCAUCCCAGACCUGUCUGCACCCUAUACCACCAUCUUGCCUCCAAGUGUCUUUUAAAUUGCAGAAAUUUUAGGGGCCGGCACUGCGUUGUACAGAGUUAAGCCGCCACCUGCAAAAC